UUCCACUCUUUCCCACAGAAGGCAUAGCCCGGCUGGAGCCUGUUGAUAUGUGUGUAUGCGUUUGAAUGUGUGUGUUUGUCCUCACUGACACAAGGACGACCUGAACCACUUUCACCUGUACUUGUCAGUCAGCCUGUCACCGAGACCCAGAUGAGGAAGACCGAAGAAGGAGGAAGGACGGUGCGAAAGCUUGGACAGAGGACAGAAGGUAACGAGGAGAACCAAAAGCAACGUUGAAGAGGUAAAAGAUACACGUGGAACACCUGCUCUCUGCUGUAGGUUCGGAUGGCAGCGUCAGCGAGACGUAUUUAAAACGCUUCUCUCGGCUUUGUAAAACCUAGACACACAGUCGGUUUUGAUUAAUGACGAAAAGGAAAGCGCACACUCAAACACCGGGGAAGGUUUCGGAGCGCGUGGAAUCACUCCUUCCCUCCCUCUUCCUUUCCUCUGGCACAUCCCCAUCAUUCAGCUGGGCAGCAGCAGCUAAUAACCAACAAAUAAUGACAAGGAUGAAAACACAGGACAUCAGGGGCAAGAGGGAAGGCCAGCCGAAUCCGGGGAUGGUGCUGCUCGUAAAGAGACGCCUGGAAUAAUGGGAAAGGAAUGCCGUGCAACGACUCCCACGGGACCGGGUCCAGCCGAAGGCCCUCUGGCUCGCCGACAACAAACGGGAACGCUUGAGGAGAGCAGGGUGCACACAUAAGGGCUUUAACAGCACAUCCCAACCGCCCCCCCACCCUUCCCCGCCCCUCAAAACACACACAUUCACAGAUCCCCCCCUCAACCCUCCCCUCCUCCCCCUUCCUGUGCCGACCUACUGGAGUCGGCUGUUGUUGUUGGCUGCCUGCCGCUUUCGGAAGAAGCUCUCUCUCCACUCCAUCUUUCUUUCUUUCAUGCUGCAAAGGAAUUGCUGAUAAAAUGUCAUCUUCAGGGAGCUCUUAUGAAAAAGUUAUUGCCAUCCACUUUUGCCCGUAUUAAAUAAUCUUGCACCUCGUCUGCUCUCUACAUCUUCAGAUAUAUUCACUGUUCAGUGACGAUCCCAUGACAUCCUUAUUUCCUCUGUCGCUCUCUGUGUGGCUUUGCGUUUUCAUCGGCAGACCAAUCAUUUAUUCUCUGCCCCAAAGGGGAGUGCUUACUGUCAACUCCUUACAACCAUAUUCAUAUGUACAUUUUUUAGCUUUCAAAAAGGAAAAUGUUCUUUUCAUGUUCUACCUUUGAACUCAAUUAUUCAUGUGUGUGUGUGUGUGUGUGUCUCUGGGUCUUGAGCGGCAUAUAUGAGCCAGAUAUAGGAAAACCAGUCGCCUCUUUUUCAUUUUGCUUCUGCAAGCAGAGGUGCUGUCUGAUACAUGAGGUGCCUGACACAUGCACAGCUUGUAUAAGGAGACUCUGAUUCCACAAGACACGCACGCCCAUGUGUAUGUUAGGACACAGAAUAUCCUCUCAUGACUCACGUGGAUUCCUGGGGUGCGUAGGUUGCGCGAGGAGCCGUGUUAAGAGUCAGCAGUCGGACAAGUUGAAGGGGAGAGACGUUCGGUGAGGAUGGAGGGAGGAUGGGGUCCUGAUCUCAGGCCGGAGUCGCCUUUUUGCUCCUUAAAUCACAAUCGGGGUCUCCUGGGCCAAAAAUGUUCCCACUGCGAACCUUUUAAUUUUCAGGAGAUGCUCCAAAACACAGUGGGGAAACAGACAUCCUCUUCAGAGAGUAAAUUUCAAUACUUAAAAUGAUAGAAAGUAGAUAUAAAAUGUCUACGCUUACGUUUUAGACGGUAUAUAAUUCAGUGCAGUCAUAACUAUAUGAAAUAAGGAAGAGAGAUGAUCCGGCUCAGUGAAAAAUGUCUUUUUAAAACACUUUUGUGUUCACUCUUGCAACUUUAUGUGAAGCAUUCUCACAGUCAAUUAACAUAUAUGUGUGAGUUGCAUGAUUUCUACAGCCGUCAUGUAGAGGCUUGGGAUUUAUAAUCUAUAACACUGAAGUUAAAAACCACUAUUAUUUGUGACUGCAGUUUUUUUUUUUUUGUCCAGCAAGUAAACGACAUGGGCAA